CAAAUUACCCAAUCCUGACACAGGGAGGUAGUGACAAGAAAUAACAAUAGCGGGGCUUCCUAGUUCUGCUAAUUGGAAUGAGUACAAUUUAAAAACCUUAACGAGGAUCCAGUGGAGGGAAAGUCUGGUGCCAGCAGCCGCGGUAAUACCAGCUCCACAAGCGUAUAUUAAUGUUGUUGCAGUUAAAAAGCUCGUAGUUGGAUAUCUGUCAUGACGGACCUGGCCCAACAUCUCUGAUGAGUUUCUGUGUGCCGGUUCUGGCGUCCGGUUGUUGCGCUCGGUGUCGGGUUGGCUCGGUUCGCUGGGUUGAUCGGUCGGGUUGUGCUCCGUGUACGCUUGUUCGUCGGACAUCCUUCAUGAGAACCGCUCUGCCAUUCACUUGGUUGGGGCGAGGAUCCUGAUCGUUUACUUUGAAAAAAUUAGAGUGUUUAACGCAGGCUUCAUUGUCGCGAAUAGAUUAGCAUGGAAUAAUAUGAUAGGACUUCGGCACCGCUGGUGACUGCCUUUCGCGGCGUGGCCUUGUGUCGCGUCUGUGAUUGGACCAACAGCUGCUGGUUUUCUAUUUUGUUGGUUUCUAGAGCUGAAGUAAUGAUUGAUAGGGAUAGUUGGGGGUGCUUGUAUUGCGGGGCCAGAGGUGAAAUUCUCGGAUUCUCGUAAGACAAACUUCUGCGAAAGCAUUCACCAAGGAUGUCUUCUUUAAUCAAGAACGAAAGUUGGGGGAUCGAAGACGAUCAGAUACCGUCGUAGUCUCAACCAUAAACUAUACCGACUCGGGAUUGGGCGUCGUUGACAAAUUGGACUCGCUCAGCACCGUAUUUGAGAAAUCACAAGUCUUUGGGUUCUGGGGGGAGUAUGGUCGCAAGGCUGAAACUUAAAGGAAUUGACGGAAGGGCACCACCAGUCGUGGAGCCUGCGGCUUAAUUUGACUCAAUACGGGAAAACUUACCAGGUCCAGACAUAGUGAGGAUUGAUUAGAUUGAAGAUCUUUCUUGAUUCUAUGGUUGGUGGU
rnacentral:rRNA from 1 species